GACGAACGCUGGCGGCGUGCUUAACACAUGCAAGUCGAACGGAAAGGCCCUGCUUUUGUGGGGUGCUCGAGUGGCGAAAGGGUGAGUAACACGUGAGUAACCUGCCCUUGACUUGGGGAUAACUUCAGGAAACUGGGGCUAAUACCGGAUAGGAGCUCCUGCUGCAUGGUGGGGGUUGGAAAGUUUCGGCGGUUGGGGAUGGACUCGCGGCUUAUCAGCUUGUUGGUGGGGUAGUGGCUUACCAAGGCUUUGACGGGUAGCCGGCCUGAGAGGGUGACCGGCCACAUUGGGACUGAGAUACGGCCCAGACUCCUACGGGAGGCAGCAGUGGGGAAUAUUGCACAAUGGGCGGAAGCCUGAUGCAGCAACGCCGCGUGCGGGAUGACGGCCUUCGGGUUGUAAACCGCUUUCGCCUGUGACGAAGCGUGAGUGACGGUAAUGGGUAAAGAAGCACCGGCUAACUACGUG
rnacentral:rRNA from 1 species